GACGAACGCUGGCGGCGUGCUUAACACAUGCAAGUCGAACGAAGUGGCGAACGGGUGAGUAACGCGUAAUCAAUCUGCCCUUCAGAGGGGGACAACAGUUGGAAACGACUGCUAAUACCGCAUACGGAAGGAGGGGAUUGCGUCUGAUUAGCUAGUUGGAGGGGUAACGGCCAACAAAGGCGAGGAUCAGUAGCCGGGUUGGGGGGAUGAACGGCCACAUUGGGACGGAGACACGGCCCAGAUUCCUACUGGAGGCAGCAGUGGGGAAUCUUCCGCAAUGGACGAAAGUCUGACGGAGCAACGCCGCGGGAGUGAUGACGGCCUUCGGGUUGUAAAGCUCUGUUAAUCGGGACGCGGUACCGGAAUAGAAAGCCACGGCUAACUACGUGCCAGCAGCCGCGGUAAUUC
rnacentral:rRNA from 1 species